rnacentral:rRNA from 1 species
CGGAGGGGGCUAGCGUUGUCCGAAGUUACUGGGCGUAAAGCGCGCGUAGGCGGGUUGGUAAGUCCGCUGUGAAAGCCCGGAGCUCAACUCCGGAGGGUCGGUGGAUACUGCCAGUCUUGAAGGUGCUAGGGGGAGAUGGAAUUACCGGUGUAGCGGUGAAAUGCGUAGAUAUCGGUAGGAACACCAGUGGCGAAGGCGGUCUCCUGGGGCAUUCUUGACGCUGAGGCGCGAAAGCUGGGGGAGCGAACGGGAUUAGAUACCCCGGUAGUCCCAGCCCUAAACGAUGAAUACUAGGUGUCGGGGGUAUCGACCCCUCCGGUGCCGCCGCUAACGCAGUAAGUAUUCCGCCUGGGGAGUACGGCCGCAAGGUUG